rnacentral:rRNA from 1 species
AACGAACGCUGGCGGCAUGCCUAACACAUGCAAGUCGAACGAGACCUUCGGGUCUAGUGGCGCACGGGUGCGUAACGCGUGGGAACCUGCCCUUAGGUUCGAAAUAACUCCCCGAAAGGGGUGCUAAUACCGGAUAAUGUCUUCGGACCAAAGAUUUAUCGCCUUUGGAUGGGCCCGCGUUGGAUUAGCUAGUUGGUAGGGUAAAAGCCUACCAAGGCGACGAUCCAUAGCUGGUCUGAGAGGAUGAUCAGCCACACUGGGACUGAGACACGGCCCAGACUCCUACGGGAGGCAGCAGUGGGGAAUAUUGGACAAUGGGCGAAAGCCUGAUCCAGCAAUGCCGCGUGAGUGAUGAGGGCCUUAGGGUUGUAAAGCUCUUUUACCCGGGAUGAUAAUGACAGUACCGGGAGAAUAAGCUCCGGCUAACUCCGUG